GCACUGUUGAGGAAUCCCAGAAUAGGACGAAACGUUCGUCCAAUGC
rfam:Schistosoma mattheei strain Denwood, Zambia genome assembly, scaffold: SMTD_scaffold0023842